GAUGAACGCUGGCGGCGUGCCUAAUACAUGCAAGUCGAGCGAACAGACGAGGAGCUUGCUCCUCUGACGUUAGCGGCGGACGGGUGAGUAACACGUGGAUAACCUACCUAUAAGACUGGGAUAACUUCGGGAAACCGGCGCUAAUACCGGAUAAUAUAUUGAACCGCAUGGUUCAAUAGUGAAAGACGGUUUUGCUGUCACUUAUAGAUGGAUCCCCGCCGCAUUAGCUAGUUGGUACGGUAACGGCUUACCAAGGCAACGAUGCGUAGCCGACCUGAGAGGGUGAUCGGCCACACUGGAACGGAGACACGGUCCAGACUCCUACGGGAGGCAGCAGUAGGGAAUCUGCCGCAAUGGGCGAAAGCCUGACGGAGCAACGCCGCGUGAGUGAUGAAGGUCUUCGGAUCGUAAAACUCUGUUAUUAGGGAAGAACAAAUGUGUAAGUAACUAUGCACGUCUUGACGGUACCUAAUCAGAAAGCCACGGCUAACUACGUG
rnacentral:rRNA from 1 species